CGUGGGGUCCAAGCGUUAUCCGGAAUUACUGGGCGUAAAGAGUUGCGUAGGUGGCAGAGUAAGUAGGUAGUGAAAUUGUGUGGCUCAACCAUACACCCAUUAUCUAAACUGCUCAGCUAGAGCAUGGAAGAGGUAGCUGGAAUUUCUAGUGUAGGAGUGAAAUCCGUAGAUAUUAGAAGGAACACCGAUGGCGUAGGCAGGCUACUGGUCCAUUGCUGACACUAAGGCACGAAAGCGUGGGGAGCGAACGGGAUUAGAUACCCCGGUAGUCCACGCCGUAAACGAUGGAUGCUAGCUGUUAUCAGUAUCGACCCUGGUAGUAGCGAAGCUAACGCGUUAAGCAUCCCGCCUGUGGAGUACGAGCGCAAGCUA
rnacentral:rRNA from 1 species